rnacentral:rRNA from 1 species
AGUGAACGCUGGCGGUAGGCCUAACACAUGCAAGUCGAACGGCAGCACAGUAAGAGCUUGCUCUUACGGGUGGCGAGUGGCGGACGGGUGAGGAAUACAUCGGAAUCUACUUUUUCGUGGGGGAUAACGUAGGGAAACUUACGCUAAUACCGCAUACGACCUACGGGUGAAAGCAGGGGAUCUUCGGACCUUGCGCGAUUGAAUGAGCCGAUGUCGGAUUAGCUAGUUGGCGGGGUAAAGGCCCACCAAGGCGACGAUCCGUAGCUGGCCUGAGAGGAUGAUCAGCCACACUGGAACUGAGACACGGUCCAGACUCCUACGGGAGGCAGCAGUGGGGAAUAUUGGACAAUGGGCGCAAGCCUGAUCCAGCCAUACCGCGCGGGUGAAGAAGGCCUUCGGGUUGUAAAGCCCUUUUGUUGGGAAAGAAAAGCAGCAGGUUAAUACCCCGCUGUUCUGACGGUACCCAAAGAAUAAGCACCGGCUAACUUCGUG